rnacentral:misc_RNA from 1 species
GUGAGUCAUCGAAUCUUUGAACGCACAUUGCGCCCUUUGGUAUUCCUUAGGGCACACCUGUUCGAGCGUCAUUACACCACUCAAGCCUAGCUUGGUAUUGGGCGCCGCGGCUCCUGUCGCGCGCCUCAAAGACGUCGGCCGAGUCUUCAAGUCUCUUAGCGUUGUGCAAACUCUCGCUGGUGAGGAUUGAUGGCCCGCGCCGUAAAACCUUUCUUUUCAAGGUUGACCUCGGAUCAGGUGGGGAUACCCGCUGAACUUAAGCAUAUCAAUAAGCGGAGGA